rnacentral:lncRNA from 1 species
CGGUGCGUGCAAACUAAGGGGCUAAUCCCCUUCAAGUCGGCAAUAGACCACCCUAAAGCUCCUUUAUGAUUCUUUAGAACACCAAGUAAUUUUCUUUCUUGGUCAUGAUUAAGAUCAGAUGAGAUAAUUAUAGGGUAAGUAUCCUCGGGUCCAAGAAAGGCAUACUUGAGUUCCUUCGGUAAAGGUUUUAACUCGAGCUUAGGCACUUGCUCAUGGGAUGGUACUAUCUUUGCUUCUCGAGGUGGCAACUGUUCAAAUUUUUCUACUUUUGGUCUCCACCCAUUGAUCAUCAUGGCGUUCGAAAAAUUCAUACUAGGUUUGACCAACAAAUCAUCUUUAUUGGUGCCAUUAGAACACCAAUCAAUUAAACUAUCGCCGGAUGGAUCGUUAAAUGCUUCAGCUAACAAAUAUUCCUCCGCGAUAGUUUCAACCCAAUCAACCUCCUUACUCUCUUCGGGAUCAUUAGGUU